rnacentral:rRNA from 1 species
UACGAAGGGGGCUAGCGUUGCUCGGAUUCACUGGGCGUAAAGCGCACGUAGGCGGCUUGUUAAGUCAGGGGUGAAAUCCUGGAGCUCAACUCCAGAACUGCCUUUGAUACUGGCGAGCUUGAGUUCGGGAGAGGUGAGUGGAACUGCGAGUGUAGAGGUGAAAUUCGUAGAUAUUCGCAAGAACACCAGUGGCGAAGGCGGCUCACUGGCCCGAUACUGACGCUGAGGCACGAAAGCGUGGGGAGCAAACAGG